CAACCUCCUGGGCUCAAGUGAUCGUCCCACCUCAGCCUUAAAUCUGACUGAAAACAAAUGGUUGAAUGUGCUGCUAACAGAGAGGGCCAAAUGAUGAUGUCCAUUGUGGCAGCUGAACAAAGGGAGACUUACAGAACUGGAACUGCUGCCCUGAUAGCAACUGAAGCAGAAAGAGAAGAAAGGAGCUCACAACCAGGACACUUAAAACUCAGGCCAGGAGUCCAUCUACGAUCCAAUUACAGUCAGUCUGACAAGUCACUCUGAUCCAGCACGAUUAUCCUAUGCACAUGUUUUUUAAAGAACAAAAAAGGAAGUUUCAAGUUGGUGUGUAUGUUUUUUAAAGACACAAACCACAUCUUUCUACUCAAUUAAAUUCAAGGGAAAGGGAUUUUGGUCUUUAUAAUCAAGGGCGAUUAUGACCAACAGUGUGUCAUGGAAAGGCAAAAUGACGAAAAAGCAAUUCACAGCAGCAUCUUCUGUAUUCUCUCCAUAUUAAAACUGUUCUUUUUUUUUGA